UGGUACACUUGAGAUCAAAUGUUCAAAGGAUAAUCAAAAUUCAGGGGCUCAUUGGACCAUCACAUCUUUGGAGAAGGACCUGCUGUUGCUGAUAUUGUUACAAGGGAGGGGAAAUACAACUUG